UACAGAGGUCUCAAGCGUUGUUCGGAUUCAUUGGGCGUAAAGAGCUCGUAGGCGGCCGGUUGCGUCUGCUGUGAAAUCCCGGGGCUUAACCCCGGGCGUGCAGUGGAUACGGGCCGGCUGGAGGCAGGCAGGGGAGAAUGGAAUUCCCGGUGUAGCGGUGAAAUGCGCAGAUAUCAGGAGGAACACCAAUUGCGAAGGCAGCUCGCUGGGACGUGACUGACGCUGAGACGCGAAAGCGUGGGGAGCAAACAGG
rnacentral:rRNA from 1 species